GUUCCGUUCCUUUGGUUCCACUGUCUUGUUCAGGAGUAAUAUAUGUUGGCUGAUCUAAUUCUUUACAGGUUCUCCUCUGGAUUAAGGACAUCUACCAUUUGGAUAUGGUAUUACAACCUAUAUACUGGACAGAGGAUUAUUACCUAAAUAUCGGUCAUUUUUUACCUAAAUUAUAACCAAACAGAAACAUAAUGGAACUCAUAUACAGACUCAAGCUGCACCUGCACAGAUGCCUGAUAAAACAUCUGCAUGUAACACAGGUCAUGUUGCAGCAUAUUUAAACUAGUUGACUUGUUAAUACAUUUUAUUUUAUGCUGAUUCUGGAGCCAUUGUGGCAGAUUGCAGUUCAGGAAUUGAAUCAGCUGUGGCACUCUGUUUCUGCUUCUUAUUGCUCACCCCUGUAUUAUGAACUGCAGAAAUCAUUCAAGAAUUGCUUUCUGUCCAAGUCAGAAUUCAUGAAACCUCCCUCAUUGCUAGGGAACUGCGAGUUUCCCCUUGAUGAUCGAUGUAAGCCACUGCUGUUACAUGUCUUACUGGAAACACAGAUAAGUCUCUCUCCUCAAGAGAGGCAAAAACUGAAGGGCAGUGGAAAAUAUUUAUGGGCAACUUUGUCUCCUGAAGUACCCAAACUCCCUGUGCUCUCCAGGAUCCCCAGACUGCACCCCAACCUGAAAGACUUGAAUCUGUCAAUGUCAUGGUCCAAUUUGGGCAGACAAAGGAUGCCCCCAGAACAAUGGAUAGAUGAUUGCUCAACCAGGAAAAUAAUUUUGGAAAUAUGGAGCCACAAAGAGAGAAGUAACAUUAUAUAGCACCUUGUAAGACUUUAUUGCAGUAGUCCAGCCCUGGAGUGCCUUUUCUCCUCUGAGUACUGUAACCCCCCCAGCUACAACAUAAUUGAACAUCUUCUAUUGUUUUAGAUUGCUUUUAAAAUCCUCUUAGACUCAGCCUGAACAUGUACUUUUCAUUUAAUAAGAUUAAGUGAUUUUAUUACAAGA